GACAGAGGUGGCAAGCGUUGUUCGGUAUCACUGGGCUUAAAGCGUGUGUAGGCGGAAGCGUAAGCAUUUUGUGAAAUCCCCCGGCUCAACCGGGGCAUUGCUUGAUGUACUGCGCUUCUUGAGGCAGGUAGGGGUGCGCGGAACUCUUGGUGGAGCGGUGGAAUGCGUAGAUAUCAAGAGGAACGCCGGUGGUGAAGACGGUGCACUAGGCCUGUCCUGACGCUGAGACACGAAAGCGUGGGGAGCAAACGGG
rnacentral:rRNA from 1 species